rnacentral:rRNA from 1 species
GGACUACCGGGGUAUCUAAUCCUGUUUGCUCCCCACGCUUUCGCGCCUCAGCGUCAGUCUCGGUCCAGAGCGCCGCCUUCGCCACCGGUGUUCUUCCCAAUAUCUACGAAUUUCACCUCUACACUGGGAAUUCCACGCUCCUCUCCCGAACUCCAGCGAACCAGUCUCGAGCGCACCUCCCAGGUUGAGCCCGGGGCUUUCACACUCGACUUGGACCGCCGCCUACGCGCCCUUUACGCCCAGUAAAUCCGAACAACGCUCGCCCCCUUCGUAUUACCGCGGCGGCUGGCAC